CCUACGGGAGGCAGCAGUGAGGAAUAUUGGUCAAUGGCCGGAAGGCUGAACCAGCCAAGUCGCGUGAGGGACGACUGCCCUAUGGGUUGUAAACCUCUUUAGGCGGGGAGCAAAGCCGGGCACGCGUGCCCGGAGGGAGAGUACCCGCAGAAUAAGCAUCGGCUAAGUCCGUGCCAGCAGCCGCGGUAAUACGGAGGAUGCGAGCGUUAUCCGGAUUUAUUGGGUUAAAAGGGUGCGUAGGCGGAUUUUUAAGUCAGCGGUAAAAUGUCCGGGCUCAACCCGGGCCGGCCGUUGAAACUGGGGAUCUUGAGUGGGCGAGAAGUAUGCGGAAUGCGUGGUGUAGCGGUGAAAUGCAUAGAUAUCACGCAGAACUCCGAUUGCGAAGGCAGCAUGCCGGCGCCCGACUGACGCUGAGGCACGAAAGCGUGGGGAUCGAACAGGAUUAGAUACCCUGGUAGUC
rnacentral:rRNA from 1 species